GCACCGAGCCCACGUCGUUGGUGGCGGUGCAGCGGUACUCCCCGGCGUCCGCCUCCGUCACCUGGCUGAUCUGCAGCAUGCCCUCCUUCACCACGAUGUGGGCGGGCAGCGUGCCGCCCACCUUGCUCCAGCGCACCGUGGGCUGGGGGUCGCCGAUGGCCUGGCACUCAAACUCCACCGCGUUGCCCACCAUCACCGUCUGGAUGGAGGUGCGCACGUUGAUCAUCACCUUGGGCAGCGCUGGGCAGGGUGGAGGCAGGGUGGGGCAGGGUGGAGGCAGAGACAGCAGCACACCGUCCUUGACAUGGUGGUUUGGAGGCAGAACGUCUCCUUCUUUCAGCCACUCCAUGAUGGUCUCAGCGCCCCCUGCUGCAGAGCAGCGUGAUGAUGACCUCGCUGGUGCCCAGGUUGUUGGUGGCGUUGCAGAUGUAUUCUCCAGAGUCCUGACGGCCCACGCUGGGCAGCACCAGGCUGCCGUUCACCACGCUGUGCCUCCAGGGGAGAGGGGAGCGCAGCUUAGACCAGCUGAUCCUGGGGUGCAGCGUGACGGUCUUGCCCUCCUCCACGAUCAUGAGGGGCUCCAGGACGGAGGCCCUGGGCACGCUGGGCAGCCGGGCCCCGCCCUCCACCACCACGUUCACCCGGGUCUCCGAGCUGCCCUCGCUGUUGCGCACCGUGCACACGUAGGUGCCGCCGUCCUCCGGCCGGGCGGACAGAACCUGCACACAGGGACGUUCUGAUGCCUUAGAAUGAUAUCAAUAUUUUUUGCCGUCU
ensembl:lncRNA